rnacentral:rRNA from 1 species
AGCGAACGCUGGCGGUAGGCCUAACACAUGCAAGUCGAACGGAAGCACAGUAAGUGCUUGCUCUUACGGGUGGCGAGUGGCGGACGGGUGAGGAAUAUAUCGGACUCUACUUUUUCGUGGGGGAUCACGAAGGGAAACUUACGCUAAUACAGCAUCUGCCCUACGGGUGAAAGCAGGGGAUCUUCGGACCUUGCGGGGUUGAAUGAGCCGAUGUCGGUGUGGCUAGUUGGCGGGGUAAUGGCCAACCAAGGCGACGAUCCGUAGCUGGUGUGAGUGAAUGGUCGGCCACACUAGAACUGGGACACGGACCAGGCUCCUACGAGAGGCAGCAGUGGGGAAUAGUGGGCAAUAGGCGCAAGCCUGAUCCAGCCAUACCGCGUGGGUGAAGGCGGCCUUCGGGUUGGAAAGCCCUUUUGUGGGUAAAGAAAAGCAGCAGGUUAAGACGCCGCUGUUCUGACGGUACCCAAUGAAUAAGCACCGGCUAACUUCGUG